GAUGAACGCUGGCGGCGUGCCUAAUACAUGCAAGUCGAGCGAACGGACGAGAAGCUUGCUUCUCUGAUGUUAGCGGCGGACGGGUGAGUAACACGUGGAUAACCUACCUAUAAGACUGGGAUAACUUCGGGAAACCGGAGCUAAUACCGGAUAAUAUUUUGAACCGCAUGGUUCAAAAGUGAAAGACGGUCUUGCUGUCACUUAUAGAUGGAUCCGCGCUGCAUUAGCUAGUUGGUAAGGUAACGGCUUACCAAGGCAACGAUGCAUAGCCGACCUGAGAGGGGGAUUGGCCACACUGGAACUGAGACACGGUCCAGACUCCUACGGGAGGCAGCAGUAGGGAAUCUUCCGCAAUGGGCGAAAGCCUGACGGAGCAACGCCGCGUGAGUGAUGAAGGUCUUCGGAUCGUAAAACUCUGUUAUUAGGGAAGAACAUAUGUGUAAGUAACUGUGCACAUCUUGACGGUACCUAAUCAGAAAGCCACGGCUAACUACGUG
rnacentral:rRNA from 1 species